rnacentral:misc_RNA from 1 species
GUGUGUCUCUGGCGGCUCGCAUCCACUAUACAUCCAUAAACCCGUGUGCCCUGUUCUAAGGAGUAAGAAAAAAAAAAGGGAGGGGAGAGAGAGUGCAUGUGCUUUGCAUAUAACUCUCUCUCACUCUCCACUCUCUUUCUCUCUCCGGUUAAUUACAAACUCGUAUGGAUUUGUAUGAACGUGAGAUAUAUCGUUGGACCGUCACUGGCCAACAAAUAUAACACAACUUUCGACAACGGAUCUCUUGGUUCUCGCAUCGAUGAAAAACGCAGCAAAAGGAUCAUUAGUGAAGAUUCGGGGCCCCAUACAGACAUACAAUAAGUGUGUCUCUGGCGGCUCGCAUCCACUAUAC